UACGGGGGGGGCAAGCGUUGUUCGGAAUUACUGGGCGUAAAGGGCUCGUAGGCGGCCAACUAAGUCAGACGUGAAAUCCCUCGGCUUAACCGGGGAACUGCAUCUGAUACUGGAUGGCUUGAGAUUGGGAGAGGGAUGCGGAAUUCCAGGUGUAGCGGUGAAAAUGCGUAGAUAUCUGGAGGAACACCGGUGGCGAAGGCGGCGACCUGGGUCGAUACUGACGCUGAGGUGCGAAAGCGUGGGGAGC
rnacentral:rRNA from 1 species